rnacentral:rRNA from 1 species
CACUUCGGUGGUACUCGAGCGGCGAACGGGUGAGUAACACGUGAGUAAUCUGCCCCUGGCUUCGGGAUAGCCACCGGAAACGGUGAUUAAUACCGGAUAUGACAGACCCUCGCAUGGGGGUGUGUGGAAAGUUUUUCGGCCAGGGAUGUGCUCGCGGCCUAUCAGCUUGAUGGUGAGGUAAUGGCUCACCAUGGCUUCGACGGGUAGCCGGCCUGAGAGGGUGACCGGCCACACUGGGACUGAGACACGGCCCAGACUCCUACGGGAGGCAGCAGUGGGGAAUAUUGGACAAUGGGCGGAAGCCUGAUCCAGCAACGCCGCGUGAGGGAUGACGGCCUUCGGGUUGUAAACCUCUUUCAGUACCGACGAAGCGCAAGUGACGGUAGGUACAGAAGAAGCACCGGCCAACUACGUGCCAGCAGCCGCGGUAAUACGUAGGGUGCGAGCGUUGUCCGGAAUUAUUGGGCGUAAAGGGCUCGCAGGCGGUUUGUCGCGUCGGGAGUGAAAACGCCGUGCUUAACACGGCGCUUGCUUCCGAUACGGGCAGACUAGAGGUAUUCAGGGGAGAACGGAAUUCCUGGUGUAGCGGUGAAAUGCGCAGAUAUCAGGAGGAACACCGGUGGCGAAGGCGGUUCUCUGGGA